UACGUAGGGGGCUAGCGUUGUCCGGAAUCAUUGGGCGUAAAGAGCGUGUAGGCGGCCCGGUAAGUCCGCUGUAAAAGUCAAAGGCUCAACCUUUGAAUGUCAGUGGAUACUGCCGGGCUAGAGUCCGGAAGAGGCGAGUGGAACUCCUGGUGUAGCGGUGGAAUGUGCAGAUAUCAGGAAGAACACCAACGGCGAAGGCAGCUCGCUGGGACGGUACUGACGCUGAGGAGCGAAAGCGUGGGGAGCGAACAGG
rnacentral:rRNA from 1 species